rnacentral:rRNA from 1 species
CGCAGCCGCGGUAAUUCCAGCUCCAAUAGCGUAUAUUAAAGUUGUUGCAGUUAAAAAGCUCGUAGUUGAAUUUCGGGGUUCAUACGUUGGUCGGGCUUUUUGGUCUGUACUAGCGUAAUGGAUUCCUACCUUCUGAAUAACCGGCAUGCCAUUAAUUUGGUGCGCCGGGGAAGCAGGACUGUUACCUUGAAAAAUUAGAGUGCUUAAAGCAGGCUAUCGCCUGAAUACAUUAGCAUGGAAUAAUGAAAUAGGACGGCAUGGUUCUAUUUUGUUGGUUUCUAGGAUCACCGUAAUGAUUAAUAGGGAUAGUUGGGGGCAUUAGUAUUCAAUUGUCAGAGGUGAAAUUCUUGGAUUUAUUGAAGACUAACUUCUGCGAAAGCAUUUGCCAAGGAUGUUUUCAUUAAUCAAGAACGAAAGUUAGGGGAUCGAAGACGAUCAGAUACCGUCGUA